AGAUACUUAGGUUAAACAAAACCGGGGGCCUUCAAAGCCCCAAAUAGGACCGUCCUCCUAGUCUCUG
rnacentral:tRNA from 1 species